UACACAGGGUGCAAGCGUUGUUCGGAAUUAUUGGGCGUAAAGCGCGUGUAGGCGGCUUUGCAAGUCGGGUGUGAAAGCCCUCAGCUUAACUGAGGAAGUGCGCCCGAAACUGCAGAGCUUGAGUACCGGAGAGGAUGGUGGAAUUCCCGAAGUAGAGGUGAAAUUCGUAGAUAUCGGGAGGAACACCGGUGGCGAAGGCGACCAUCUGGACGGAUACUGACGCUGAGACGCGAAAGCGUGGGUAGCAAACAGGA
rnacentral:rRNA from 1 species